UACGUAGGGUGCAAGCGUUGUCCGGAAUUAUUGGGCGUAAAGAGCUCGUAGGCGGUUUGUCGCGUCUGCUGUGAAAACGCGAGGCUCAACCUCGCGCCUGCAGAGGGUACGGGCAGACUAGAGUGCGGUAGGGGAGAUUGGAAUUCCUGGUGUAGCGGUGGGAUGCGCAGAUAUCAGGAGGAACACCGAUGGCGAAGGCAGAUCUCUGGGCCGUUACUGACGCUGAGGAGCGAAAGCGUGGGGAGCAAACAGG
rnacentral:rRNA from 1 species